GAUGAACGCUGGCGGCGUGCCUAAUACAUGCAAGUCGAGCGAACAGAUGAGGAGCUUGCUCCUCUGACGUUAGUGGCGGACGGGUGAGUAACACGUGGAUAACCUACCUAUAAGACUGGGAUAACUUCGGGAAACCGGAGCUAAUACCGGAUAAUAUAUUGAACCGCAUGGUUCAAUAGUGAAAGACGGUUUUGCUGUCACUUAUAGAUGGAUCCGCGCUGCAUUAGCUAGUUGGUAAGGUAACGGCUUACCAAGGCAACGAUGCGUAGCCGACCUGAGAGGGUGAUCGGCCACACUGGAACUGAGACACGGUCCAGACUCCUACGGGAGGCAGCAGUAGGGAAUCUUCCGCAAUGGGCGAAAGCCUGACGGAGCAACGCCGCGUGAGUGAUGAAGGUCUUCGGAUCGUAAAACUCUGUUAUUAGGGAAGAACAAAUGUGUAAGUAACUAUGCACGUCUUGACGGUACCUAAUCAGAAAGCCACGGCUAACUACGUG
rnacentral:rRNA from 1 species